rnacentral:lncRNA from 1 species
AUGCUUUCAAAUAAUGCAUAUUCUAGGUUCAAUUGGAUUAUUUUUUCUCUCUCAAAACAGGGCAGCAUCAUGCUAACCAGUCCAUUGUUUGCCACCUUGGCAUAUGCCCCUGUUAUCUGUACCCAUUGUCUCCAUGACGGUAGCGAACAAAAUGAAGAUAAUGAUGAGAACGAGGUGGAGAUAAUCUGCAAUACAUGCAACGGUCUCUUCACUGACUACAACAUGGCCAUAAUCGAGGCUAUAUGGCCCCGCUUAGGUGACCUACGCAGUGCUGACCAACGUCGUCGAAGGAUGGGUCACUGUCAAACAGGGUUCAUCGGGGUGAACACGACGACCCCACCGUUGGAUCCGAAGCCCUCUCCACUGCUUCCUUCCCCUCUCACUAGAUCUAGGGGAUGCCGCCAUCGAUCCAUGCCCUCCGGUCAAGAAACCCUAGCCACCACCGCUGCUAGCAAUCGGAAUCAUCGACCCGGGGCCACCUUCUCAGGAUCCGGCUGUCGCGAGCCCGCCAGCGCCGGAUCCGGCCUUUGCAAGCCUGCCAGUGGUAGUGGAGGAGGAGCUGCCAAGGCGCUCGGUGGCUGCUCCCGCUACCAUUACGCGCAAACAGUCGGGGUCAUCGUCAUUGUUGAGGGGAACCUCGUGCUAACUGGCCCAUCUUUUGCCAUCUCGGUGUAUGUCGGCAUUGACCUGAUCAAUCUCCAUGACGGUAGCCAAGAAGAAGAAGAUGACGAUGAGGAAGAUAACGUUGGGGAGAUAUUCUGCAAUACCUGCACCUGUGACUUCACCGACUACAACAGUGCCAUAGUCGAGACGGUCAUCACAUGGUAUGGCCCAGCUGAGGUGACCUAUGUUGUGCUGACCAACGCCUUCCAAUGAUAUAUAGGCU